GAUACGAAUACCGAUGCGAAACGAGAGAGAGAGAGAGAGAGGCUAAAGACUGGCAAUGUCUUUUCUCGAGUCUGCUCUCCUCUGGAGGAAGAACACGAACGAUAACGUCGAGAUUCACUGUAUGGACGCAAGGACGGUCUUUUGCACGAACACAGCACUCGUAACUCUCUUGGAAGUCUCGUCGUAAACCUCUCCGGUCCUUUCUCCGUUGAUGGUGAACGUUCGACUGCGGUAAACGACGG